AGAUUGAACGCUGGCGGCAGGCCUAACACAUGCAAGUCGAGCGGUAGAGAGGUGCUUGCAUCUCUUGAGAGCGGCGGACGGGUGAGUAAUGCCUAGGAAUCUGCCUAGUGGUGGGGGAUAACGUUCGGAAACGGACGCUAAUACCGCAUACGUCCUACGGGAGAAAGCGGGGGACCCUCGGGCCUCGCGCCAUUAGAUGAGCCUAGGUCGGAUUAGCUAGUU
rnacentral:rRNA from 1 species